GACAGAGGGUGCAAACGUUGUUCGGAAUUACUGGGCGUAAAGCGCGUGUAGGCGGCCCGGAAAGUCGGAUGUGAAAGCCCUGGGCUUAACCUAGGAAGUGCAUUCGAAACUCCCGUGGCUUGAGUUCUGGAGAGGGAAGCGGAAUUCUCGGUGUAGAGGUGAAAUUCGUAGAUAUCGAGAGGAACACCGGUGGCGAAGGCGGCUUCCUGGACAGUGACUGACGCUGAGACGCGAAAGCGUGGGGAGCAAACAGG
rnacentral:rRNA from 1 species